UACGUAGGGUGCGAGCGUUAAUCGGAAUUACUGGGCGUAAAGCGUGCGCAGGCGGUUUUGUAAGCCAGAUGUGAAAUCCCCGGGCUUAACCUGGGAAUGGCAUUUGGGACUGCAAGGCUGGAGUGCGGCAGAGGAGACUGGAAUUCCUGGUGUAGCAGUGAAAUGCGUAGAUAUCAGGAGGAAUACCGAUGGCGAAGGCAGGUCUCUGGGUCAAAACUGACGCUCAUGCACGAAAGCGUGGGGAGCAAACAGG
rnacentral:rRNA from 1 species